rnacentral:rRNA from 1 species
UAACACGUGAGAACUUGCCCAUGAGCGGGGGACAACAUUCGGAAACGGAUGCUAAUACCCCAUAGGUGGAUUGGUCGCAUGACGAAUUCAUUAAAGGUGGCUUUGCUACCACUCAUGGAUAGCCUCGCGGCGUAUUAGCUAGUUGGUAAGGUAAUGGCUUACCAAGGCAGUGAUACGUAGCCGACUUGAGAGGGUGAUCGGCCACACUGGGACUGAGACACGGCCCAG